rnacentral:rRNA from 1 species
AUUGAACGCUGGCGGCAGGCCUAACACAUGCAAGUCGAGCGAGCGGCGGACGGGUGAGUAAUGUCUGGGGACUGCCUGAUGGAGGGGGAUAACUACUGGAAACGGUAGCUAAUACCGCAUACUAUCGGAUAACCCAUAUGGGAUUAGCUAGUUGGUGGGGUAAUGGCUCACCAAGGCGACGAUCCCUAGCUGGUCUGAGAGGAUGAUCAGCCACACUGGAACUGAGACACGGCCCAGACUCCUACGGAGGCAGCAGUGGGGAAUAUUGCACAAUGGGCGCAAGCCUGAUGCAGCCAUGCCGCGUGUGUGAAGAAGGCCUUAGGGUUGUAAAGCACUUUCAGGGGGGAGGCGUUACCGACAGAAGAAGCACCGGCUAACUCCGUGCCAGCAGCCGCGGUAAUUC